GAUGAACGCUGGCGGCGUGCCUAAUACAUGCAAGUCGAGCGAACAGACGAGGAGCUUGCUCCUCUGACGUUAGCGGCGGACGGGUGAGUAACACGUGGAUAACCUACCUAUAAGACUGGGAUAACUUCGGGAAACCGGAGCUAAUACCGGAUAAUAUAUUGAACCGCAUGGUUCAAUAGUGAAAGACGGUUUUGCUGUCACUUAUAGAUGGAUCCGCGCCGCAUUAGCUAGUUGGUAAGGUAACGGCUUACCAAGGCAACGAUGCGUAGCCGACCUGAGAGGGUGUACGCCCACACUGAAACAGAGACACGGCCCAGACUCCAAGGGGGGGCAGCGGUGGGAAAUCUUCCGCAGGGGGCAAAAGCUAGACGGGGCAACGCCGCGGGUGUAAAAAGGUUCUUCGGUUCGAAAAACUCUUUUUUUGGAGAAAAACAAUUGUGUAAGUAACUAUGCACGUCUAGACGAUACCAAGUCAAAAAGCCAGGGCAAACUCCG
rnacentral:rRNA from 1 species